GCCAGCGCCAUCUUGUCUGAUCCUUACUGUACACGUGGCUGGCCAAGAGAAGAGAAGAUGGAGCGGCCAUUUUGAUCAUGCCUAGUCCCAGAAAAUAUGGUGACAACAAAAUUUUGACCAUUUAUAAAUAAUAAGUGAACUUCCAAAAAAGAAGGGAAAUGUUUGGAGACCAAAAUUAAGAGAAGCCACAAUGGUUUUGAUAUCAGGAUGAUGCUGGCCUCAUAAAAUGAGUUAGGGAAGAGUACCUCCUUUUCAAUUGUUUGGAAUAGUUUCAGAAGAAAUGAAUUUGAUGAUGAUGUAUCUUGGGGAUGCCCUCUCUCACCACUCCUUUCAACAUAGUGGAAGUUCUGGCCAGCACAAUCAGGCUGGACAACAUGAAAAUGUCUGAUAAUACCAAGUAUUGCCAGAGUGUGGACCAAGAAAAACUCUUACAAAUACUAAUAAAACUGUAAACCAUGUGAAAAACAAUUUAAUAUUGACUGUAUCAUACCCUGAAACAGAAAUCCACUCCUAGGUGAUACAUUAACUAGAAAAAUUUUUAUGCACAUUCAUAAAGAGAUAUAAACAAACAUGUUCCCAACAGUAUUACUUAUAAUAGUAAAAACUGUCAUCAGAAUGUGAAUGUGGUGAGUUUAUACAAUUAACUAUUAUGCAGCAUCAAAAAUCAGUCAACCAGAGUGACACAUAUGAAUAUGAAUCAUUAUUAUUUACAUAAUGUUGAUAUUUUAAAAAUCAAAAGCAAUUUGCAAAAGAAUGCAUACUGUAUUAUAUCAUUUAUAUAAGGGUUACCUAUGCUAAGCGAUACAAAAAUAUUGUUAGUACUCAAAGUGCACAAAAUGUAUGAAUGUAUAAAUGUACAAAUAAAUACAAAAUUUAGAAAUGAGGUUAUCUUUUGUGUGUGGGGGAAUGGGGUGGACAGAGAGAGGAAUGGGAGAGGAGGCUUCAGUCAUAUCCAUAAUGCUUUCUUAAUGGGCAUAAUGGGUAUAUCAGUGGUCACUGUAUUUUUUCAUCUUAGGCAAAUUAAUGUUUACAAAAUAAUUAUUCAAAUGAAUUAAAAUCCACAAUAAAGAAGCAUUUUCUUUAGCUAGAACAGAUUGUUAAUUUGAGAGGCCAAUUUCAUAGUAAAAGCCCUCUAACAAAUUCAUUUGAAGAAAAAUCUUAAUGACCUACCUCCAUUUUCUAUUCAGAACCUCAGCCUGGUUUUUCAAAAACUAACCACAACAAAGCAUCACUGUCCACCCUUACAGUACCCCACUCAUACUGAUCCUGUCUUACUAAGGUCUACUGUCUCUGAGGUUUUCAGACCUUCAUCUUCAUGCAUCAAAAUUCAGUAAUGUUUUCUAUUUCCCUAAUUACCAGUAUCUAAUUAAGCCAAUCCUGUUAAGAUACUAACAACUCAAAAACUAAAAGUGUUAUCCUGUCUAUAUGUACUUUUAUUUUAAUGAGUAAUUGCCAAAGGGGAUAUCUUUUACGACAAGUGUAGCAUUUCAGGCAUCCAAAGGGAAAUAUUCAAAGAUAUUUGACAUCUUAUUGUUUAAUAUCGCCAUGAGUUUUAUUUUCAAAUAAGGUUAGUCUUGCUUAUCCUAAGAAGCAUUAUCAUUUCAAAGAUUUUAGCAGUGUGGGUCAAAGAAAUUGAUUAACAACUUGCAAAAUUUUAUAGCCUUAAUGUCUAAACAUUUAUAGAUGUAAUAGGAACAUCAAAUCUGUUAAAACUGCCUUGAUCUAAUUUGUAAAAUGGUGAUAGUUUUUAGUGUUGGGCCUCUGCUUGAACAACAUCCAAAGUAUAUUUAGCAUUUAUCUUUCUCCAAUUUUUAGACAGUCAUCUGCAUUUCCAGAGGGUUGAUGACAGGGCAGCUUGAAGUUUAAAGACAGCACCUGCAUUUGCAUUUCAAUAGUUCCAUAAUUCUAUGAAACCACUGAAAUCUCUUCAAUGUCUCAUUGUUUAAAUAGUAAAGGUGGCCAGAUUUUGUUCAAGAUUCAUAAUCUUACAAAAAUAUGGAGCCGUUGUAUUCAAAGCUUAUUCUAAAGAGAAUACCUUCUCUUUACACCUUAUAAUCCUGUUUGUUAAAACCCAUAACAAUUAGGUGGACAUCUGAACAUAUUUAAAGUAUUUUAUCCAUUGGAUUUUUAUGGUCCAAAAUCAAGAUUCUAGGACAAGAUAAAUGGGAAAGGAGGACAUGUAGUUUGAAAUGUGUUAUAUCAGCACCAUCAAUUUUUAAUUCGGGGUUCCAAAAUUAUCUUUUUCUCCAUUGGAAAGGAAUACGUUUGUUUCCACGUAGGAAACUACUUCCACUUAACACACAGAAGGUAACUUCAUUGGUAGGUAUGCUGCCUGUAUGCAAGGAUCUGCAGUUACUCAUAACUGGCUGUGUUUUUAAACAGAAUAAUUUUUGUCAAAUAUUUUGAUACAAAACAAUGAAGCCUGAAGUUAAAAUAAGAAAUUCUGGGCUCAAGUGCAGGGCAACUGGACACCCUUAUGAGAUGAGCCUUUGUGCCCUUCCUGUAAGUGUGGAUUAGAUUAUCCACCACCUAGAUUUAAGAAAGGAUUAAAUGAAAGAAUAUAUGUGAAAGUACUGUGUUGACUGUAUUAAAAAGAACUGGAAACCCAUAAAGGACCGCUAUAAUUGUGUAAUUGUUGCGCCAGGUUAUUUUGUCAAUACAUUUUUAAUCAGCACCUAAAAUAUUUCAUGUCACUUCAUCCAGCAGAGACAUUGAGAUGUGGCAAAAUGUUU
rnacentral:lncRNA from 10 species